UAGUUCAGUGGUAGAUCACUUGUCUAGCAAGCAAGAGGCCCUGGGUUCAGACCUCAG
rnacentral:tRNA from 1 species